AGGAUGAACGCUGGCGGUAUGCUUUACACAUGCAAGUCGUACGGGAGUUUUUAACUCAAGUGGCGGACGGGUGAGUAACACGUAAGAAUUUGCCUUUAGGAGGGGGACAACAACUGGAAACGGUUGCUAAUACCCCAUAUGCUUUCUAGUGAAAUGGAUUUAUCCGCCUAAAGAGAAGCUUGCGGCUGAUUAGCUUGUUGGUAAGGUAAUGGCUUACCAAGGCGACGAUCAGUAUCUGGUUUGAGAGGACGAUCAGACACACUGGAACUGAGACACGGUCCAGACUCCUACGGGAGGCAGCAGUGGGGAAUUUUCCGCAAUGGGCGAAAGCCUGACGGAGCAAUACCGCGUGAGGGAUGACGGCCUAUGGGUUGUAAACCUCUUUUUCAGGGAGGAAUCAAUGACGUGUACCUGAAGAAUAAGCAUCGGCUAACUCCGCGCCAGCAGCCGC
rnacentral:rRNA from 1 species